UACGGAGGGGGCUAGCGUUGUUCGGAAUUAUUGGGCGUAAAGAGCGCGUAGGCGGUCCGGUAAGUCGGUUGUGAAAGUCGGGGGCUCAACCCUCGGAUGCCGAUCGAUACUGACGAGCUCGAGUCCGGAAGAGGCGAGUGGAAUUCCUGGUGUAGCGGUGAAAUGCGCAGAUAUCGGGAGGAACACCAAUUGCGAAGGCAGCUCGCUGGGACGUCACUGACGCUGAGACGCGAAAGCGUGGGGAGCAAACAGG
rnacentral:rRNA from 1 species